AUGCAGAUCUUUGUGAAGACCUUGACUGGCAGGAUCGUCACUCUUGAUGUUGAAAGUUCAGAUACUAUCGGCAAUGUGAAAGCUAAGAUUCAUCACAAGGAGGAUUUUCAACCAUACCAACAGUGUCUCAUAUUUUCUGGCAAGCGGCUGGAGGACGGCCGCACCUUGGCCGACUAUGGCAUCCAAAAGGGGGUUACCCUUCAUUCUGAACCCCGCUUCCCCGGGCCGAUGCAGAUCUUCGUCAAGAAUUUGGGAGGAAAGACUUUGACGUUUAAUGUUCAGAGCUCAGAUACCAUCCGCAGUGUCAAGGAGAAAAUUCAGCAGGUGGACGGUAUUGACCCGGCAAGCCAACGCCUCAUCUUUUCCGGGUGGCAGUUGGAGGAUAGCUUCACACUGGCAGAAUACAAUAUCCAGCAUGAAUCCACUUUUCAUCUUUGCCUCCGUCUUUAUUCAUGUGCUAAAUGUCCAGGAACCCAUCACUAG
rnacentral:rRNA from 1 species